GAUGAACGCUGGCGGCGUGCCUAAUACAUGCAAGUCGAGCGAACGGACGAGAAGCUUGCUUCUCUGAUGUUGCGGCGGACGGGUGAGUAACACGUGGAUAACCUACCUAUAAGACUGGGAUAACUUCGGGAAACCGUAGCUAAUACCGGAUAAUAUUUUGAACCGCAUGGUUCAAAAGUGAAAGACGGUCUUGCUGUCACUUAUAGAUGGAUCCGCGCUGCAUUAGCUAGUUGGUAAGGUAACGGCUUACCAAGGCAACGAUGCAUAGCCGACCUGAGAGGGUGAUCGGCCACACUGGAACUGAGACACGGUCCAGAGGCCUACGGGAGGCAGCAGUAGGGAAUCUUCCGCAAUGGGCGAAAGCCUGACGGAGCAACGCCGCGUGAGUGAUGAAGGUCUUCGGAUCGUAAAACUCUGUUAUUAGGGAAGAACAUAUGUGUAAGUAACUGUGCACAUCUUGACGGUACCUAAUCAGAAAGCCACGGCUAACUACGUG
rnacentral:rRNA from 1 species